rnacentral:rRNA from 1 species
GAUGAACGCUGGCGGCGUGCUUAACACAUGCAAGUCGAACGGGAAAUACUUUAUUGAAACUUUGGUGGAUUUAAUUUAUUUCUAGUGGCGGACGGGUGAGUAACGCGUGGGUAACCUGCCUUAUACUGGGGGAUAACAGCCAGAAAUGACUGCUAAUACCGCAUAAGCGCACAGAACCGCAUGGUUCCGUGUGAAAAACUCCGGUGGUAUAAGAUGGACCCGCGUUGGAUUAGCUAGUUGGCAGGGCAGCGGCCUACCAAGGCGACGAUCCAUAGCCGGCCUGAGAGGGUGAACGGCCACAUUGGGACUGAGACACGGCCCAGACUCCUACGGGAGGCAGCAGUGGGGAAUAUUGCACAAUGGGGGAAACCCUGAUGCAGCGACGCCGCGUGAAGGAAGAAGUAUCUCGGUAUGUAAACUUCUAUCAGCAGGGAAGACAAUGACGG